rnacentral:lncRNA from 1 species
AGAAGCAAAUUGCAUUAUAAUUAUCUAACUGAAUUUGGUCAAUAUACUAAAGCAGAUUUCCUUUUUAUGUAACAUAUUAAUACCAAAUGAAGGUAAUUAAUGAUCACAGAAAGCAAGUGAAUAUAAGUUUUAUUAAUAGGCUCUGCAUGAGGCAAUUGACACCAACAGCUCAAGAUUUGGAAGAAAUUGUAGACUAGAGUUUUCAUCUCAUGGAAAAUUCAGAAUCAAAAUCAAAAACAGCUGAGGUAGUUACUUGGGUGCCUUCCUUCAGCUUAUUCAAAAGA